GGUUGUGGCUCAGUGGUAGAGUGCUUGCCUAGCAUGUGUGAGGCACUGGGUUUGAUCCCUGGCACCA
rnacentral:tRNA from 1 species